GACGUAGGGGGCAAGCGUUGUCCGGAUUUAUUGGGCGUAAAGAGCGUGUAGGCGGCCAAACAGGUCAGCUGUGAAAACUCGAGGCUCAACCUCGAGACGUCGGUUGAAACCGUUUGGCUAGAGUCCGGAAGAGGAGAGUGGAAUUCCCGGUGUAGCGGUGAAAUGCGCAGAUAUCGGGAAGAACACCCGUGGCGAAGGCGGCUCUCUGGGACGGUACUGACGCUGAGACGCGAAAGCGUGGGGAGCGAACAGG
rnacentral:rRNA from 1 species